rnacentral:rRNA from 1 species
ACCAUCAUUCAGUUGGGGACGUCUAGAGAGACUGCCGGUGAUAAACCGGAGGAAGGUGGGGAUGACGUCAAAUCAUCAUGUCCCUUAUGACCUGGGCUACACACGUACUACAAUGGCGCAUACAACGAGCUGCGAGAUGGUGACAUCAAGCGAAUCUCUUAAAAUGCGUCUCAGUUCAGAUUGGAGUCUGCAACUCGACUCCAUGAAGUCGGAAUCGCUAGUAAUCGCGGAUCAGCAUGCCGCGGUGAAUACGUUCUCGGGGUUU